rnacentral:lncRNA from 1 species
CCGGGGCUGGGAGCACUGCAAGCACUCCCAUAGUCUGGUUGUACUAGUGGUAUCAGAAAGCUGCUUGAUAUUACAUUUUUCAUCUUGAAGGGAAGCAUAGGAAGGCAGAGAAGAAAGAGGGGGGCAGAACAUAAAAGAAGAAAAGUGGGAGCAAAGAGGAGACAGGAAGAGAGAUGGGGGAGGGGAGGGCCAGGGAGAGAACAGGAGUUUAGAUUUAAAGGUUUCUCUUUUUGUCUAAGAACCUGAAGGAUCUUCAUGUGCUUGAUAGGAUGUAUAAAAUGUCUCUAGGAAUGAAAUCAUAGAGUGUUUGGGAUUUUCAUUUUUUAUGUGUUUUGAGGAUAAAAGCAGGCUCUCAGGAAAGUCAGAGAAAAGGGCCUUCAUAAUCACAGAGCAAGAGGUAGGCAAAGUAGUGACUGGAAAGAGAAGCUGUUCUGCAGUGACAUCCCAGCCCCAUAGACCCUGACUCCAAGAAGGACGAUGAGAUUAACCUUAUGGAUUUCUUUUUAAUCAUUGCUGGCAACCAGCUCUGCAUGACAGCACUGCACACAAAUACCGUGGAUGAUGAUGAGUGAAUUGAGGAAUGCGGGUUGCAUUGUACUGAAAGGUUGCAAUGAUAGAAGAUGUUUCCUCUCGUGAUCAUGGAAAUGUUUUCCAGACUGGGCCACAUGAUUCCCCAGAUUUGUGUAUUGAGCCAGGCAUCCUUUCCACAUUCCAGUCAGAGGAGUGGAAUCACAGGCACACCAUCUCUCCACAAUGCGUUGAUUGUGAAGAGAGACAGAGCUCUCCUUUCAAAGAGGCUUUCCAAAUAACACCCCUCCCCCUCAGUUCUGAGGUGCUGCAAACGAAGGAAUCAUCGAAUACCUUCCUGUCUCUGAAUCAGGACAUCAGGAAGAAAAGAAGAGUGCAAGGAACAUUGCAGCAUAAGCCUUUUCUCCUUUCGGAAGUUUUCUGGAACCUUCCUUGAUGGAUUCUUAAACACCUGACAUCUUUAUUUGUAAAAUACUUUUCAUGGGUGUGUAUAUUCAGUAGAGUACUUUGCCAUCCCAAAUGAAAUUAGAAGUCAGUUAGGAGAUAAAUAAAAAUGACAAUUAGAC